CAUGAACCGCAAAAGCGUUGGAACCACCUGAUCCCUUCCCGAACUCAGAAGUGAAACGACGCAUCGCCGAUGGUAGUGUGGGGUCUCCCCAUGUGAGAGUAGGUCAUCGUCAAGC
rnacentral:rRNA from 1 species